rnacentral:lncRNA from 1 species
AAGGACCAGGGCUAGGUGUGUCUCAACUCAGACUCUCCUUGGUUGGGCAGGUCUUGCUGCGGCUGCUGUCAGGAAUGGGGAUGAGGUUCCUGGGUCAAUAGUGUUGUGUACCUAGGAGGAUUAUGGCUGCCUUUGCUGAGUCAUGCGGGUUGUCAGGGAAGUGGGGGAAAGCCAGCAGUCACAGGCCUCACCCAGCUCCCACGCAAUCCAAAGGGCUGGUCUCACUCCCACAGUGCCUCCCCUAACAGCACCAAAUCUGUUUCCAGGCAGUGGGCAAGCAGGGCUGAGAAUUGCCCCAGACUACCCACCUCCCAGCUGCAAAGGAAAAGGGCUCAGUUCUUCCCCCACCUGUGGAGUCUGCAUGCUGGAUUCCCGUUCUCCCCAGAGUUCUGGCCAGGAGGCUUCUUGCCUGGUUCAAAUUGUUAUGAAGUUCAGCUGGAGACUUCCUUCUCCCUGUGGCAUUUUCCCCACACCUCUAGCUGCCCUCCUGAAGGAUCCUGGUGGUGCCAGGUCUAUGCACUGAAAAUAUGCCUGUGAAGAAAGCAAUAUUUCUGUCUCCAUGGACCUUACUAUCAAACUGGAAGAGACCAAAGAUUAAUAUACAAAUAGGUGAUAAUAGAAAGUCUGAUAUGGAUUGGUGCAAUGAAGAAAAAUAAGCAUCGCUUGCUGAGAGAAAAUGGAUCCGCCACCAGUUUUUGCUUGUAAUAAACAGCCUGAAGAGUCUUCCAAAGUGUGGAUAAGGAAUGAACCAUAAAAAGAAAAAUGUUUUUUACAAUCUUUUCCUCAUCCCUUGUCAGUCUUAUUGCCUCAUAGCCCACUGGACUCCACACUUUUCCAGAAAGAAGAAAGAACCCUGGACACAGGAAGAGUCACAAAACUAUUCUAUUAAAUAAUUGCUUCUGGAAUUCUUUGCUAAUAACAUCAAAUUUUCAACUGAAAUUGACUCUAUAUAUUGGAAUAAGGGCCCAACAGACACAUUCCAGACUCAGAAAACUGAGAAGCGUUUAGAUUUUCAGCGAGCAAUCUUGUUUGCAGUUAAUUUCCAUUGAAUAGCUUAUACAUGUUGGUGUCUGGAGAUAGUAGGUUAUAAAGCAGCAUGGCCAUUUUCUUUUCUCUCUCUCUUUUUUUGAUUGGGUAAGAAAAGGGAGGUGAUCUAUUAGCAUUCCCCUAUGAACUCUUCUUCCCCCCCCUUUUUUCCCCACAGUCCAAAUCUUUUAAUUCCUUCUCCAUUUAUAUCAGGGUUUCCCAGACUCAGCACUGUUGGCAUUUUGGGUGGGGUAAUUCUUUCCUGUGGACGGCUGUCCUGUGCAUUUUAGGAUAGUUGGCAGCAUCCCUGGCCUCCACCCCCUAGAUGCCAGCAGCAUGCCCACCUCAAUCAAGACAGUCAAAAAUGCCUCCAGACUUUACCAAAUGUCCCUUGGGGGGACAAAACCACCCCCGUUGAGAACUACUGUUUUAUAUUUAAAGUCAAGUGGCUGUUUAGCCAUUUGCUGCCUACAUGUCAGAUAAUCCUAAAAUGGAAUUGGGGGCUGAAUAAAACAGAGGGUACCAAGUUGAGUGAGCCCAUCAGCCUCUGUGUGGGACACUCAUCAGUGAGCUCCAGAAAUGGAAUUCUUCAAUAUCGUUGAUGAGUCAGCAGCCAGAAACUAGUCAUGAACCCACUGUCUCUGGAAAUGGUGAAUUUUUGGUGCAGUGAUGUUCACAGCUCCAUGACCCCUUAGGGCAUGGUUAUGAAUUGUGAUGUUCACUACUCUUUUGAGCCUCAGGGGGGAGUCCUUGUACAGACAAAUUCAAAAGGCUCAGUGGGAAUUUUAAAUUCUUAUCAGAUGCAACAUUUUCUAAAUGAGCUCUCCUUAUACCACAAAACUUCACGUUUUCAAAAUCAAUCUGACUUUGAGGAAUCCUCUAGAGAUUUACUGUUAACAUAAAUUUUUUUUUUCAGAUUUGUAACUCUGUCACCUCUGUUGAAUGAAUUCUGACUUAAUAUAACCAUAAAAGUGGGGGCCCACAGGGAAUGAUUGAAUAACCUGGCGUCUUGGAAUUCACACUAUUUAGCCUGCAAUGUCACAUAGCUUGACCUCUGAAUGAAACAGGCUGCUGAAUGAGCUCUGGAAGACUGUGGUAGAAAAGGAAAAACAACCAAGGAAGCCUGAGAAUCUGAAAAGGUGGCCAGUUGGAAGACAAAUAUGGGCUAUGACUGUCACCUGUUGUAUAGGAUCAUAGAACCUUAGAGCUGGAGGAGCUUCAGAAGUUGCGUUCAUCUACUUCUCCUCCCUCUACUGCUACCCAGGGGAGGGUGAAACUGCCUUUGCCAAAUUGUAACCGAGGAAACUAUGACAGUGGAAGAAAUCAGACCUAACCGACUCCAUCUUGCUUCUAAUCUUUAAGUCGUCCUUGUUCAUUCCUGGGCAUAGGCCAAGCUAACUUUGAGAAGGAAUUCAGUUCAUGGUUUGACUUAAACAAAAUUGAUAACAGCUCUUUCCCUGAAAGACCCGCUUCUUGCCUGGGGACCAAUCUGCCUUUGUAGGACUAACAAAUUAGCCUCAAGAUUAGAAAUUACAGUUUAGGGGUCAUGCAGCCUCUGGCUCCUAGAGUCUGAACCUCCCCAAAUUGCUCCUGGGGAUAACAUCACUAUUGUAAAACCUAAGAUCAGUGCUUGAGAUAUUUUGCAGACCUUGCACUCAGUGUAUCAGCUGACACCACCCAGACCAGUAAUCUGCUUUAACCAGGUCUGCCAUCCCACCCAGGAACAGAAGACAGCAAGAAAACCACACUUCGACCCCCUAUGAUUCCAUCUCCAACCCAACCACAUCAGCACUCCCCAUUUCCCAAGCCCCUACCCACCAAAUUAUCUUUAAAAACUCUGAUCCCUGAAUGCUCGGGGAGACUGAUUUGAGUAAUAAUAAAACUCUGUCUCCCCGCACAGCCGGCUCUACGUAAAUUACUCUUUCUCCAUCGCAAUUCCCGUCUUGAUAAAUUGGCUCUGCUAGGCAGCGGGCAAUGUGAAGCCAUUGGGCAGUUACAAAGUCACCAGUGUCUCUGAACCUACAGGGAUGUUUAAAUGGCCUUCUGACUAUAUCUCAUGCUUCCACUCUUGCUUUCUCCCCCACCCCCAACCCUUUGGUUUCAAUUUCCACAAG